CCUCACAUCAUAUCGAUAUAAAAAUUGAAUUUUAUUUCCAAGCGCUCUCAAAAUCUUCUUGUGGUAUAAGUGGAUGGGAAGCCUUGGAAAGCGAACCCAAGCUUCAAUAGAAUUAACUCGAUAAAUCUGGCUUCCAUGGUUGAACGACCAAAUAAUGACCUAGAACAAUCCACGGUUCAUCCAACAAAAUAUGCGUGUAGUCAUCUUUGGAAUCAAACUGUACUAGGUAAUAAUUUCGUUCAAGAUUAAUCACUUUCCAUCCCUUUUUAGGCUUCUGUAAUUUUCCAGCCUUUUCACAAAAUUUAAAAAGCCAAUUUCCUUGCCUAGCAUUUUCACCAUUGCCAAGGUUCCACAAUUUUCUUUUCAAAAUCCUCAUCCACUUCCAUGGUGAAAGAGUGUUUCUUAUCGUGGAAAACUACUUUUGGAUUCACUUCGUCACCAUUCGUUGAGUCAGAAUAAUCUGCCUCAUCAUCGGAGUCAACUUCAGUCAUAGCAUAAUCCGAAGCAGAAGGAUAAUUCCCAUCCUCAAGAGUAGUGUUAACAUCAUUAGGGUUUUGAAAAUCAAGAGCAUCCCUGUAGGAGGGACCCUCUGAUUUCGUGGGAGUAGUAGUCGUGGAAGGAGAUUGUUCGGGGAUUCAGAGAGUGACACUGCUUUUUGCGUGAACGGUCAUCGGGCGGAGACAGAGGAGGAAACUUGUUCAGGCCAUGUUCAUCCAUGGCUAGGGUUCAGUGGAGAGAGAGGCAAAGAUGUAACGAGAGAAAGACAGAUUAUUAUAGUUGUUUACUUGUGUUGUCAUGACUUAUUUUCUUUUACUAUUAUAGAAAUGGGAGUUGGGGUACGAACAUGGGCGAACAGGGGCAAUUUUGGGAUUUCGGAAAUUUUCAAGGGCAAAUUGGGGAGUCUAAUGCUUCAAUAGAUUUCAUAAAUUUGGUCUCAUCUAGACUCUUCAUCUUCUUCUUCCUGAUAGACUCGAAAAUUGCUUCUCUUUCUCACUUUCCCUGUGUUUUUUUGUGCUUCUUCUUCCUUUUUUGUUUUAUAUCUGCAUCUCUAUUUAGUAUUUAGUCAUUUAUGGUUACUUUUGAGUCCUCAAGUGUUGCAUCUUGAUGUGGACCAAAUAAUUGAAGGUAUCAAACUGCGGAUUGGAUUUUCCUUUUUGAAUUCAAUGAGAAGAAACUACUGGACUCUGCUCUCUCCUCUACCCCUUUUCAAGAUGUCUUGGAGUAGGUGCUGCUUGGAAAACAGCAAAUGUGGAACCAGGUUCAACAGUAGCGAUCUUUGGUUUUGGUGCAAUUGGGUUGCAGAGGGAGCAAGGCUAUGUGGUCCCACCAGAAUUAUCAGCGUAGAUAUAAACUCGGACAAGUUUGAAAUAGGGAAGCAAUUUGGGAUUACUGAGUUUGUCAAUUCCAAAAGCUGUGGGGACAAACCUGUUAGUCAGGUGAUAAUUGAGAUGACUAAUGGAGGUGCUGACUAUUGCUUUGAAUGUGUUGGUCUGGCAACACUUGUGCUGGAAGCAUUUGCCUGCUGCAAAUGCAGCAAGUAGAUGUUGGCUUCAAGUCAAUUUUGGGCAAAUAGAAAUCAACAAUUGUGCAUAGAAAGAAGGUGAGUGAGAAAGGAAGAGACAGUAGUAGUAGAAGCUAAAAGGUGAUGAAAUUAGAUGACAAGAAAGGUGCUCAAUAAGUGGGAUAAAAAAAAAAAGAGUGCACGUGGUUAUGGAUAAAAUGUAAAAAUGCCCAUGACAAACAAUAUAAAUUACCACUUUGCCUGUGUUCGUCCCACUUUGUUUUCUUACAGUCAUUUUGCUGAAAAUCAGAGAUAAAAAUAGAUCAAAUGGGAUCAGCGAAAGCUUGCAGCACAACUUGCUGCCUUUUCUAAAGGAAGCUACAUUGCCUGAAUUUGACCUGGUUAAUUUUCGCACUACAUAUCUAUUGUUUCUCAAUUGUUGGGAAUGAAAUUACAUAGGGUGAUUUGGGCAUAGAUGGACUCUUACCCUCUGUUUGGAUAGUUGUUUCCUGUGGCUCAUUAAUGUACAGUAUGGUAUGGUACAGUAUGGUGUUGUAUUGUAUUAUACUGUAUUAAUGAACACAAUCUUUUAAGAUGUGAAAGAAAAGAUUGUCUUGGAGUGUUUGGGCCAUUCUUGAUUGCUGUUUGGUUCUUGGGUUUAUGUUGUUUUGAUAAAAAUGUGGACCUUUGCAAAAUUUUGGAUUGCUACUGUGUAUCGACCCUUUUGGGAGUCAAAAGCUUGAUGAUUUCUAGAGUCUAUGGAUAAUUAGGGCUUUUCGUCAAGUUAUCGAUUUGUGACCUCUUCUGCUUGGACCAGAGGGUGGUAUUCUGCGUUUGACCAGAAAAUGACGACAAUUACUAUUACUCAUGCUGCUCCCACUUCUUGCACAGUUGCAGCCAUUAAUAUGACCAUCUUCACAACAAUGGAGGAGGAUACGCAAAGUUUAUGAACUAAGCUGGCCAUGCAAUAUAUUUACUGAUGGAGUGUGUGUUCGUUUGGUUGUUUUGUCUUUGGGUAUGUGAAGGGAAAGCAUUUAUAUGUAGUCAUGUUUAAUUUGCAUAUAUAAUAAGAUAAAGUUUUGAAAGGAUUUAAAAAGCAUAUUAUAUUUUAUUUACAAUAUUUUGCUUUAGUUUCAAGAGUAAAGCAGUCAGCAUGGGCUUGGAAGUUACUUAUUGAAUGGUCAUUCUGAGUUUGAAGUUGAAGAUGGAGUUGUGUUUGGUUAUAAUUUUUGCAAAUGUAGCUAUAUCUUCUUUUCUGGGUUGAA